UAAUACGUAGGGUGCGAGCGUUAAUCGGAAUUACUGGGCGUAAAGCGUGCGCAGGCGGUUUUGUAAGACAGUGGUGAAAUCCCCGGGCUCAACCUGGGAACUGCCAUUGUGACUGCAAGGCUGGAGUGCGGCAGAGGGGGAUGGAAUUCCGCGUGUAGCAGUGAAAUGCGUAGAUAUGCGGAGGAACACCGAUGGCGAAGGCAAUCCCCUGGGCCUGCACUGACGCUCAUGCACGAAAGCGUGGGGAGCAAACAGGAUUAGAUACCCUGGUAGUCCACGCCCUAAACGAUGUCAACUGGUUGUUAGGAAUUUAUUUUCUCAGUAACGAAG
rnacentral:rRNA from 1 species